CCUCUCCUGCGCAGUAGUUUGCACAACUCGCACCGGGAGCGCGGCGCGUCCACGUCCGUAAAACACCCAACUUUCUGAAAUGUUGACCUCGGAUCAGGUAGGAAUACCCGCUGAACUUAAGCAUAUCAAA
rnacentral:rRNA from 1 species